rnacentral:rRNA from 1 species
AUGAUGUACAUUUCGAGUGAGUGGCGAACUGGUGAGUAACACGUGGGAAACCUGCCCAGAAGCGGGGGAUAACACCUGGAAACAGAUGCUAAUACCGCAUAACAACUUGGACCGCAUGGUCCGAGUUUGAAAGAUGGCUUCGGCUAUCACUUUUGGAUGGUCCCGCGGCGUAUUAGCUAGAUGGUGGGGUAACGGCUCACCAUGGCAAUGAUACGUAGCCGACCUGAGAGGGUAAUCGGCCACAUUGGGACUGAGACACGGCCCAAACUCCUACGGGAGGCAGCAGUAGGGAAUCUUCCACAAUGGACGAAAGUCUGAUGGAGCAACGCCGCGUGAGUGAAGAAGGGUUUCGGCUCGUAAAACUCUGUUGUUAAAGAAGAACAUAUCUGAGAGUAACUGUUCAGGUAUUGACGGUAUUUAACCAGAAAGCCACGGCUAACUACGUGCCAGCAGCCGCGGUAAUACGUAGGUGGCAAGCGUUGUCCGGAUUUAUUGGGCGUAAAGCGAGCGCAGGCGGUUUUUUAAGUCUGAUGUGAAAGCCUUCGGCUCAACCGAAGAAGUGCAUCGGAAACUGGGAGACUUGAGUGCAGAAGAGGACAGUGGAACUCCAUGUGUAGCGGUGAAAUGCGUAGAUAUAUGGAAGAACACCAGUGGCGAAGGCGGCUGUCUGGUCUGUAACUGACGCUGAGGCUCGAAAGUAUGGGUAGCAAACAGGAUUAGAUACCCUGGUAGUCCAUACCGUAAACGAUGAAUGCUAAGUGUUGGAGGGUUUCCGCCCUUCAGUGCUGCAGCUAACGCAUUAAGCAUUCCGCCUGGGGAGUACGGCCGCAAGGCUGAAACUCAAAGGAAUUGACGGGGGCCCGCACAAGC